CGUGAAUGGAUUUUUGUUGCUUUUUUAAAAUUUAUUUAUGAAAACCUUUCCAUAUAUGAUAGCAGUUACAAUCGAAUCUACUUGGGCCAGGGCUAUUUAUGGGCCGGGCUACUUUAUAUGUAGAUAUUCAUAUUGUAUGCUUAUGUGUAUAUAAUGAUUUGUGAGCCAAAGAAUUUAAUCUGUCCUGGACUUGCACAGACAAUAAAAAAAAGUUUAAUAAGCCAGCGACGGAUUCUUAACAGUUUUCGGCGACAAUAAAAAAGACCUUGCAAAACCAUCUCAGUAUUUUUUUUUUUUCCUGAACGGAACCUGUAGGUUGAAUGUAGGACCAGCCUUCAGUAGAUUUUAUAAUGCUUCAGAAGUUAACUUUGGUAGUUCUAAAUCUAGCGAUAAAAUCGUGAUAAGGCAUACUUUUUUAAAAAGAUAAAAACUAUUAAAGUAGCAAUAAGUUCCUCGAAACUUCUAGUGAUAGCACGGAUGCAUACGUAUGCAAGAAGCUGCAUGAUUAUUGCACUUGGUUUGUGAGUUGUGACAAACUUAAUUUGAGCACACUGGUUCAUUUGCCAGAUUUUUAAAUUGUUACUUUACAAAAAUUAAAAAAGAUAUUUGAGACAGACACUAAAAAAUCUUUUACAGCCAGUAACUUGUCGAAGCCCCUGAAUUGGCCAGUGGAAAAUUCCGGAACUGUAUACCAUAACCAAGGUCGACGUCAAGGAAACUGCGUACCGCACGGUGCGUCAGCUCGAGCUGUUGUAUACACUUGGCUCGAUCGCGAUCGACGUGCCAGCAUGGAUUAUGACAACAAUGUUAUGCUAUGUGACUGGUGAUUGUUACCGAAAAUUCGAGGUCUGCGCAUCAAAUAUCUUGUAUUUUCACUGCUAAAGAGCACCCAUCAAUUCAGAUAUUAAAACCCAAUCGACAGUUGUUCAGCAAUGCCAUUUCAAGAUCAUUUGAUGUUGCAGUUUAGACAGUUACAAAAGGCUUGAUGUUAGAAGAAAACACUUUCUGCAAGAGCCCUAGUACUGUGAAUUCUUCUCGGUAAUCAUUUACAUUUUGAUCUGAACCUCUGCUGCCACUGUGUCAGGAGUGGACAAACUGUACAGAAAAGACACCAGCAGCAGCCAGAAAGUCAGAGGCCAGUGCCCAGUAUACUUCAGAAAUAAGUUUUGUGAGAUAAGCUGAAGUAAGCAACAUGGCAUUUGGUUCAUUUGUGUACAUGGUGAUCAUCUCAAUCUACAUUUUAUGCUUUGUAAUACUUGGAUUUGUGGUUUUCUUGAGGGAGCCAAUGUGCAAGUUUUGCAGACAUCUAAGAGGUUACAAUAUGUAUCAUCCAUACAGCAGCUAUAGUUUAGAACUUGGGCUUUAUGGAUUUGAGACCUAAGACAUAUAACUUAUUUAAGUUAAAAUCGUUCCUAUAUUUAGUCAAUUCAGUCAUUCAGGGACCAUAAUUAAUGGAACAAUCCUGGAGUAGCAGAAGUGUGAUACCUGCAGUAGUGCAUCAGCUACACAGUUACGCUAUAUGCCAAUAUCAUUGCUAAGAUUAAGCUGCCUGUGUUUCAUAAAAGAAACCUUUGAGAGGCUAGAGAAGAAAUUUCUGUAUUCCCAUAUUAAAGUUGAUGUGCAGCAAUAUUUCUUGAAGAAAUUGUCAUGGGUAGAAAAUUGGUAGUAAAAUCAUAAAUGUUUUUAUGGUUUUCUUAAAAAUUUAUAUAACUUUGAACAUUUCAAAAUUCUACUGUGGUAGAAAAUUAAUUGUGCAAUUAAAUUGUAUUGAUUUUGUGCUAAUUAAAUAAUCAUUACUUACAUAACCAAUUUAAUCUAUUUAGAAGAGCUAAUACCAGCAACUAGAAGUGUGAAGUCACUACAAGGUGGAAGCACUUUGUCAUUUUGAUGCUGUUGAUCAAGACUACAUCACAUUAUACUAUGAGAUUUAUUUUGAUUAAUUCCACGUUUGUUAGGACGAUCAGAUCUUUCAGUUUUAAAUUUUCUGCAUUUUCACAUAAUGAUGUGAAUGGUUAUACAUGUAGGAAUAAUGUAUAACCUGGUGUAAAUCAUGAAUAAUUUUUUCCGGAAAUGAUAAAAUAAUUAUUUCACGUUUUUUGCUGAGCCGUCUGUUUAUCACAGCUAGCUCGCCAAAUGAGGCUUGACAUUAAUAUUUUGGCAUGGUAUCUACAUGGUUACUUUUAAGAGAUGCUGCUUAUCAGAAUCUGCUAACUGUUCAGCUAUAUUUAUUAGAUUGCACUGCAAUGAUCCCAGCAAGACAACUGUGUUUGACCCCCAAAAAAGCAAUAAUAAUGAUCUCAUGUAGAUGGAAAAUUGUGAUCUGUGUGCUUUUUACCAGUAAAAUCAUUUAGACAUGCAUACAUGUGUGUGGUGUGUAUGAGUGUGCACAAUCAAAUGAUCUCUCUGUCUUGAGAGAGAGAGAGAGAGAAAAAAAAAGAGAGAGCAGUCAUAAACUCUUCAUGUAACAGAAUUGUACAGAUUGGUGGCAGUUGUAGACAGAAAUGGUAAGAAGAAGUGAGUUUAAAUUUCUUACUUUUCUUUAAACAUGGGUUUGGUGCAAUUCACAGUAAAAAUCAGUAUUUGUUUAGUUAUGGCUUGAAGGUCCCAACUGGAAAGGGACGCCCAGAACCGGGUCCGAUGGUAGGGUGUGGAUGCAGCCCUAUGCUCCUCUGGGGGCGAUUAAGAACAAGAAAAAGAAGAAGAAUGGCUUGAAGUGUCACAUAUCUCUCCUCUCUGUUUUUUUCUCUUGUUCAGAUUCAACAUUAUUUAUUGCUGAAGACUGUUUCUAAGCCAUAAUCUUGUUGCCUAUAACUCAUGAAAGAAUUGUUGAAAUGGAUCUGUAGAGCAUGUUUAAAAGAAUGUGAUAUUUGACUUGUUAUUUAUUUUACUGUUCAAGGCAGCACAAAUAAGAUGUGCAAAUAGCAUGCAAACAGGCUAAAAUGUAAUUAUUUAUUGUUAGUGUAAGCUGCUUUUUUACUUUUUCGUAUAAGCACAAUCAAAUUAUGCUCUUGUGUCAUAUAAAUAAACUAAUAUUAUCAUUUUUCAUGCAGUGGUAUUAUAUACAUACUGGUUUUACUGACAAAUGAAUAUUUUAUCUUCUAGAUUGUUGGAAUGGUUUUCAUUUGUUUCUAGUUUUAUGCAAUAAGUAGUGCUACAUUGUGUAAAUGUGAGCCUUCUCAAAAGAAAAUUAUUAGCACUAGGAUGCCAGCUUUUUUAAAGAUUUCCUGAAGUUCAGAGAAGAUAAAACUGUAAUCUCAGGAAUAUUUAGAAGGAAGCUUAUUAACUCCCAUGAAAGUAUCUUUCAUGGAAGCCUGGAUUUAGGAGAGUGGUUUGCUUGUCUAUGCUUGUCAGUGUUAAAAUUGGUGGCUUACACUUAAUCCACAUACUGUACCAUAGCAGCUUAGCAGAUUGAGAUGAGCUUAGUGAAGAGAACUGCUUUGUACUGCAAUUUCAAAUGUUUCAUUUCCAGCAUGUGGCUUGCUCUUUUUUGUACUAAGAAAUGGAGGAUUUGCAAAGAA